AACCUUCAUUCUCGAACCACUCAUCUGUGCACAGGUUAACAAUGGAAAUCAAUAUCUAAAGCAAUCACUUGACUUUUAAAAUUACUUACAGAAAAUCAAUGUUGAAAAAAUUCCUCAUCUACUUCCAACUACUUAAAGCUCACUCCAGAAAAGAAAUGAAGACUGCAAAUCAAUUAUUUUAAAAAGAAAUACGAUUAAUUACAAGGAAAAAAUUUUCCUAUUUAACAGAGGUCACAAUCAAAUUUCAAACGGUCAACACACAAGAAAAUGAAUGUUGUCUUGUAAAAGACAUGAAAUAUUCAAUCACUGUCACCACAUGAACAUUAGUGAAAGUAACACCCAUGACCAACCCACAUAUAAAGUAGUAUCUUUUGAUGAAACAUUAUAUUCCAAACUCUAUUGCAGCACUGUGAUCUAAAGGCCACAAAUACACAUCAUGACAACGGCCACUUUACAAUGCACAGGGAAGACUGAGCGUUUCCCCCACAGCCCCACCUGCAAUUAGGGAAGCCCAUGCACUGGAGAAAUUAUUAGAGACAUCGGCUGCACUAAAAAAAAGCUAUCCCACACGUGAGAGACGAUAGUACACGUUUUGUAUUAUAUAAUUCAACCAUAUGCAAGGACACUUCUUUCUCUGAAAAAUUAUAUUCAAGUCACAGAGUGAUAGAAAGUUUCAUACUCAUUUCAGGAUUUAUCUAAACACACCCAAUGUCCAAGACAAUUAGGUGCUAUUGUCAGUUGUGUUGAAUAUUAUAAAUUGCAUUAUUAUCAUUCAAUACAUAAAGAAACACAUUGCAAUGAUACGUAGAGCUGGAGUUCACCGAUUUUCAUAGCACUUGUAUGAAAUCUCCUCUACAUAAACAUAUUCCAGAACUAGGAACUUACAGGAAGACUGUAAUCACAACACAAGAUAAAGAUGGUAACUUACAGGACAGCGGAGACUAACAGUAAA
rnacentral:misc_RNA from 1 species